rnacentral:rRNA from 1 species
UACGUAGGGUGCAAGCGUUGUCCGGAAUUAUUGGGCGUAAAGAGCUCGUAGGCGGUUCGUCGCGUCGGCUGUGAAAACCUGAGGCUCAACCUCAGGCCUGCAGUCGAUACGGGCGGACUUGAGUACUGCAGGGGAGACUGGAAUUCCUGGUGUAGCGGUGAAAUGCGCAGAUACCAGGAGGAACACCGGUGGCGAAGGCGGGUCUCUGGGCAGUAACUGACGCUGAGGAGCGAAAGCGUGGGGAGCGAACAGG